GGGGAAUAUUGCACAAUGGGGGAAACCCUGAUGCAGCGACGCCGCGUGGAGGAAGAAGGUCUUCGGAUUGUAAACUCCUGUUGUUGGGGAAGAUAAUGACGGUACCCAACAAGGAAGUGACGGCUAACUACGUGCCAGCAGCCGCGGUAAAACGUAGGUCACAAGCGUUGUCCGGAAUUACUGGGUGUAAAGGGAGCGUAGGCGGGAUUGCAAGUUGAAUGUUAAAUCUAUGGGCUCAACCCAUAGCCGCGUUCAAAACUGCAGUUCUUGAGUGAAGUAGAGGCAGGCGGAAUUCCUAGUGUAGCGGUGAAAUGCGUAAAUAUUAGGAGGAACACCAGUGGCGAAGGCGGCCUGCUGGGCUUUAACUGACGCUGAGGCUCGAAAGCGUGGGUAGCAAACAGGAUUAGAUACCCUGGUAGUCCACGCUGUAAACGAUGAUUACUAGGUGUGGGGGGACUGACCCCUUCCGUGCCGGAGUUAACACAAUAAGUAAUCCACCUGGGGAGUACGACCGCAAGGUUGAAACUCAAAGGAAUUGACGGGGGCCCGCACAAGCAGUGGAGUAUGUGGUUUAAUUCGAAGCAACGCGAAGAACCUUACCAGGUCUUGACAUCCGGUGCAUAGCCUAGAGAUAGGUGAAGCCCUUCGGGGCACCGAGACAGGUGGUGCAUGGUUGUCGUCAGCUCGUGUCGUGAGAUGUUGGGUUAAGUCCCGCAACGAGCGCAACCCUUACGUUUAGUUGCUACGCAAGAGCACUCUAGACGGACUGCCGUUGACAAAACGGAGGAAGGUGGGGAUGACGUCAAAUCAUCAUGCCCCUUAUGACCUGGGCUACACACGUACUACAAUGGCGUAAACAAAGGGAGGCAAAGCCGCGAGGUGGAGCAAAUCCCAAAAAUAACGUCUCAGUUCGGACUGCAGUCUGCAACUCGACUGCACGAAGCUGGAAUCGCUAGUAAUCGCGAAUCAGAAUGUCGCGGUGAAUACGUUCCCG
rnacentral:rRNA from 1 species